rnacentral:misc_RNA from 1 species
CAGAGUUCAUGCCCUCACGGGUAGAUCUCCCACCCUUGUGUAUUUAUACCUUUGUUGCUUUGGCAGGCCGCCUGGGCGCAUGCCUGGCCACCGGCUCUCGAGCGGGUGCGUGCCUGCCAGAGGAUCUCCAAACUCCAGUUAUCAGUGUUGUCUGAGUAUCAUACAAUCGUUA